AUGCGGAUCCCCCUUCCCCGCCAGGAAUUCUCGCUGAAGACCCCCCCUCCUCCCCGCAUUUCCCCCCCCCCAGGGCGGGCUGCUUCUCCCCACCAUUAUGCUCGGGCUCCUCGCAGCCGCCGCCGCCUCGGGCUCCUCCGGCUCUGCCAGGCGCCCCCGACACCACCCCCCCACGCGCGCACACUCACUCACACACAGACACUCCCGCCCAUCGCCCGCCCUCCUUCCUUCCUUCCUUCCCCCUCUUCCUCGAGCUCGGGGGAGGGCAUGACAGGGAAGGGCGGGAAGGAGCGGGGGCCGCCCCAGGCUGAAGGCUGGGGGGGGCCCUGCCCGGGGGGCAGGACCCCGCGGCCGCCGCCCUCCCCUCCUGGCUGGGCCCGCGGGCUUGGGGCUCGGGAGUUUGUAAGGCGCCAUGUUGAUAAUCCUCCAUCACACCACCCGCCCCAGGAGAAGGAAGGAGAGAGACCCGAGGCGGGGGGGCGGGAAAAGAGCUGCGACAAUGGAGGACGAGAAGGAAGGGGCCGCGGGGAGGGAGCGCGCUGGGGCCGCCCCGAGGCGGCGGGGGUAGAGUCCGCUCGGCUGGGCCCCCUCAGCCCGGCCGCCCCAGCCUCUCAGCCUCCCCCUCAGUCCGCCCGCCCGCCUCUUCCCCACUUACAGCGUCGCUCCGCUCCUCACCUGGUGCAGCGGCGGCGGCGGCGGCGGCGGCGGCGGCGGCGCGCGGGCGGCGGGCUGGCUCCCGAGCCGGGGAGGGAGGGAGGGAGCGAGCGAGCGAGCAAGCGAGGAGGGCGCGGGGAGCGAGGAAAGGAGGCAGGCAGAGAGGGAGGGGGACCGGGGGAGGGGGGCGGCGGCAGCGGCGGGGGCGAGAAGUUGGGAGGCGCGCCCGCCGGCCUGCCUAGCUGCCGGGGGAAACUUUUCAAUCCCUUCCCCAGGCCGCUGCUGCUGCCUCCCCCUUCACAUGUUGGUUUUGUGUGCGUACGUGUGUGUGUCUGCGUGUGCGUGUGUGUGUUUUCCUACCCUUCCCUCCCUCGUCCCUCCCUCCCUCCUCCCUGCUCUCUGCUCCCUCUACCUCGCUCUCCCUUUCUCACCCCCCCUUGGAGUUUUAUUGUGUCUGAACCUCCCCCUUCCCCCCCCCCCCCCCUGUGGCCACAGGUCAGGUUUCUCGGGGUAAACAGGGUUGGUUUCCGAGGGUGCGAGGAGGAGCCGCCGCCGCGUGGGGAGAAGGAGAACUCUAGCGGCUGUCGUCGGACUUGCUUCUUUCCCCAAGCAGAGAUUUUUUUUUAA
rnacentral:lncRNA from 1 species